rnacentral:rRNA from 1 species
AGGAUAAACGCUGGCGGCGUGCCUAACACAUGCAAGUCGAACGCGCACGGAGCAAUUCGUGUGAGUGGCGGACGGGUGAGUAACACGUGGGUACCUACCCCAAGGUGAGGAAUACUGGCGAGAAAUCGCCAACAAUACCGCAUAGGUUUGCGCAAGCAAACAAAGCCCGGGAACGGGCGCCAUGGGAAGGGCCUGCGGCCGAUUAGCUAGUUGGUGGGGUAAAAGCCUACCAAGGCAACGAUCGGUAGCUGGUCUGAGAGGAUGGUCAGCCACACUGGGAUUGAGAACGGCCCAGACUCCUACGGGGGGCAGCAGUGAGGAAUUUUCGUCAAUGGGGGAAACCCUGAACGAGCAACGCCGCGUGCAGGAAGAAGGUUUUCGGAUCGUAAACUGCUUUUCUCUGGGACGAGAACGGACGGUACCAGAGGAAUCAGCCCCGGCUAACUACGUGCCAGCAGCCGC